GGUGGCAUGGCUCAGGAGGUAGAGCGGGCAGCCUAGAAAGCAGAAGGCUCGGUUCGAUCCCGGCCCUCU